ensembl:lncRNA
CGGGGCCCGGCAAUGCCGGCAGGGAGGGCACGGAGCAGCCGGUGCCCCUGGGGGGCGCUCCUGUCCCGCCGGGAGCUGAGCAACUAUGAAAGCCGCAAAAAAUCCACAUAUUACCUCAGAAGUAAUCUCAGUAUUUUAAUUCCCCUGUGGAUGCAGAUGCCUGAGGCUCAGCCCUGAAGCAGACACGUAAGCUCCCGAGGUUGUUCAAGCAUCUUGCACAGUCUACAAAGAACUAUGCGUAUUUCUUGAGUCCUAUGGGGAAUGUUUUUGGAGAUCCCUGUCUACCCUUGCUGACAUCACAGGAGCUUAAGCAAUAGUUCCAGGAAGCAUUUUGUGUACAACAAUACAUCAUCUCAUUAAGUGAUUUGAGGAGAACAUAAUGAGCAUCGUUGGAAUUGUGAACCUCUGAUGUCAGUUCUCUGGAUGUAACAUCAGUACUCUGGCAAUAAACUGUUGCCCAGUAUUUGAAGACAAUCCAUGCUCAAGAACUUGACUCAUCCUUUCAGCAGGCUGAAGGAUUUUCUGGAGAUUGCUUAAUGUGACAUUGGCUAGCCCUUUGGAGUUCUACAGUGUCACAGAGUCAGAAUGAUUAUUUUAUAGUUGAAACCAGAAGAAACAUCUGCAGGUCACUUGUUCAAGCAGGGACAUUCAGACCAGGGUGAUUUCUAUGCAGAAAACUUACUUUUACCAAAGCAAUUGGAUUUUGAGAAAACUAACGGCACUAACAUGGUGCGUGGAUCUUAGACGGUCUUCGACAGAAAAGACCUUUGUAUUUGGAAAAUUUUCUGUAUUAAACACUAGCAAAUUAUCAAAAUAUCUUAUUAAUGAAUACAUCAGUAAGUGUGAAAUCUGGGUUAUCUGGCUAUUUUCCUCACUUUCAAUUAUGAUAAACAUGAUGAAUUAGAAGUAUGUAUCUAUGAUUUAGCAGUACACUUUCUACAAGAUUCAAUCCAGUAAGUUACAAAUAAGCUUUAAAAUUUGAGACAUCUCUGAAAUACAUUGCGGC